UACGAAGGACCCGAGCGUUAUCCGGAUUUAUUGGGUUUAAGGGUGCGUAGGCGGAUUUAUAAGUCAGUGGUGAAAUCUCCCCGCUCAACGGGGAAACUGCCAUUGAAACUAUUUAUCUUGAGUACAUUUGAGGCGGGCGGCAUGUGUCAUGUAGAGGUGAAAUUCUUAGAUAUGACACAGAACACCAAUUGCGAAGGCAGCUCGCUAAACUGUAACUGACGCUGAGGCACGAAAGCGUGGGGAUCAAACAGG
rnacentral:rRNA from 1 species